GGGCUUCGAGCGUCCCCGGGCGCUACAGACAGGGUCUCUGUCACCCAGGCUAGAGUGCAGUGACUUGAUCAAGCUCACAGCAGCCUCCAUCUCCUGGGGUCCAGCAAUCCUCGCACCUCAGCCUCCUGAGUAGCUAGGACUACAGAUAAUCAAGCUAAGCACACAGGAUGACUGCCCAAGAAGCAAGUGACCGCAAUGGUGAAGCUGGGCCUCCACCCUGCCGUCUGGCUGACUUCAAGGCCUGCACAGCCUCUUAAGCCGCAUCCUGCUUGCUGCCUCCAAGCUUUCCUGACUGCAGCCUUUUCUCCAGUCACUUUUGAUAGAGGAGUUAAGAAGAAAUUACUUAGGCAGAUAGUGAGGGUAUGGAAGUCCUCGGUAAGGUUUUCCUUUUAAUGAAAAGCAGCCCCAAAUCAUUUUCCUUUCUAACAAACAGCAGCCUGUAAAAUCAAGCUGCAGACAUAGAUGCCGGCAGUUGUGCCAAUCAUGUUCAGAAUGGUGGCUCCCUUCUCCCUUCUCUGCCAGCCAUAUGUACAGUAAGGAGCAGACAACAUGGCUCGGGCCAAGGGUAAAGUUGAUUUGCAUAAUAAGAUUAGGGUGGGGCCCACCAGCCUUCCCCUGCACUAUGUAAACAUCACGCCUGACUGAACCAAUCUGUGAGCCCUAUGUAAAUCAGACAAUGCCUUCUCAAGCCUGACUAUAAAAUCCUGUGAGUCCACUGCCAGCCAGUCUUUCCUCUGGGAAGCCCCUCUCUCUCCCUAGAGAGAGCUGGUUUCCUUUCUCCUUUCUUUUUCUUUUGCAUAUUAAACUUCCACUCCUAAACUCCU
rnacentral:lncRNA from 1 species